rnacentral:rRNA from 1 species
AUUGAACGCUGGCGGAAUGCUUUACACAUGCAAGUCGAACGGCAGCACGGGGGCAACCCUGGUGGCGAGUGGCGAACGGGUGAGUAAUACAUCGGAACGUGCCCAAUCGUGGGGGAUAACGUAGCGAAAGCUACGCUAAUACCGCAUACGAUCUACGGAUGAAAGCGGGGGAUCGCAAGACCUCGCGCGAAUGGAGCGGCCGAUGGCAGAUUAGGUAGUUGGUGGGGUAAAGGCUCACCAAGCCGACGAUCUGUAGCUGGUCUGAGAGGACGACCAGCCACACUGGGACUGAGACACGGCCCAGACUCCUACGGGAGGCAGCAGUGGGGAAUUUUGGACAAUGGGCGCAAGCCUGAUCCAGCCAUUCCGCGUGCAGGAUGAAGGCC